CAUGCCGCGUGUGUGAAGAAGGCUUUCGGGUUGUAAAGCACUUUCAGCGAGGAGGAAAGCAGCGGUUAAUACCUGUCUGUUUUGACGUUACUCGCAGAAGAAGCACCGGCUAAUUUCGUGCCAGCCACCUCGGUGACUGAGCGGGCUGGCAAGGCGCAUA
rnacentral:rRNA from 1 species